rnacentral:rRNA from 1 species
UACGUAGGGCGCAAGCGUUGUCCGGAAUUACUGGGCAUAAAGCGCACGUAGGCGGUUCGUUAAGUCAUGUGUGAAAUCCCUCGGCUCAACCCGAGGAAUUGCGCCUGAUACUGGCGGGCUAGAGAUCGAUAGGGGUGAGUGGAACUCCAGGUGGAGCGGUGAAAUGCGUAGAUAUCUGGAGGAACACCGGUGGCGAAAGCGGCUCACUGGAUCGAUACUGACGCUGAGGUGCGAAAGCUAGGGUAGCAAACGGGG